CACGGAGCUUGCUCUGUGGGAUCAGUGGCGAACGGGUGAGUAACACGUGAGCAACCUGCCCCUGACUCUGGGAUAAGCGCUGGAAACGGCGUCUAAUACUGGAUACGAGACGUGAUCGCAUGGUCAACGUUUGGAAAGAUUUUUCGGUUGGGGAUGGGCUCGCGGCCUAUCAGCUUGUUGGUGAGGUAAUGGCUCACCAAGGCGUCGACGGGUAGCCGGCCUGAGAGGGUGACCGGCCACACUGGGACUGAGACACGGCCCAGACUCCUACGGGAGGCAGCAGUGGGGAAUAUUGCACAAUGGGCGGAAGCCUGAUGCAGCAACGCCGCGUGAGGGAUGACGGCCUUCGGGUUGUAAACCUCUUUUAGCAGGGAAGAAGCGAGAGUGACGGUACCUGCAGAAAAAGCGCCGGCUAACUACGUGCCAGCAGCCGCGGUAAUACGUAGGGCGCAAGCGUUAUCCGGAAUUAUUGGGCGUAAAGAGCUCGUAGGCGGUUUGUCGCGUCUGCUGUGAAAUCCGGAGGCUCAACCUCCGGCCUGCAGUGGGUACGGGCAGACUAGAGUGCGGUAGGGGAGAUUGGAAUUCCUGGUGUAGCGGUGGAAUGCGCAGAUAUCAGGAGGAACACCGAUGGCGAAGGCAGAUCUCUGGGCCGUAACUGACGCUGAGGAGCG
rnacentral:rRNA from 1 species